CUGCAGGCUGUCUACCACUGCCUGUGGGACAUGGGAACCAUGGUGAAAAGCUCCCACUUUAAGGCACCCUGGCCCCUUUUUCAGUUUGGUUGAGAAGAAGGUAGUAGCAGCUUGUUAGACCUGCUAGAGAGAGGAGAACUGAUCCCUGUUUCCCACUGAGUGAGGAACUUAUGCACUCGGAAAGCUUUUCCAGCCUUGGAAAUGAAACAUCGCGGACAGUAGCAGUGGAUUCUUCUGGAAGUCCUCCAGGCGUGGGUGCAGGGUCCCAGCUGGCAGAGCAGGUCUGGCUAAAACACUGACACCUCAAAAUACAGGGGAAACUCUGUGCUGUCAUCUCCUGCAGACAGACCUCUGUGUUGUGCAGACCAGUACCAACACGACAGACAGAGGUUUCUGCUGAUACAGUGGUUGGUGAAGCAGCUGUUGAGCAGUGCUUGCAGUGGCCAGGAGGUGAUGAUAUAAGAGAAGGGCAAUUUUUAUAGCAGCUGAUGGUCUCUGGCUCUGUUCAGGUGUGGCUGCAGAAAUUCCCAUUCCUUGUUCAUGCACUGAUAAUAAUGGAGGCCUAGAACCAUUGGUUUUUUAACAAUGGAGCAAAAAAUGUGCUUUUUUUUUUUUCUCCCACAAAUUUUGGCUUUAAAAAAGGAUGUAGAGAUGCAGUAAAUUUAUGAGCCAGCUAACUAUCUUUGGGAAAUAACAUCUGUAUCCACUGCAAAAUUCUUCUGUCCUGGAAUAAAACACCCUGGCUGCUGCUUUGGUUUCCAUUUACCAGCACGUGCUGCAAGCCAGAGCAGUUCUGGAGAUCUGGAGUUUGCCGUGAGACGUGGAAAACAGCCAUGCUUUUGCUAUUCGAGCCACAGUGAAAAAUCAGCAGAACUUCUUGAUGAAGUGUUGAAACUGCCGAGUGCUGCAAACAGCAACAGAAGUUCACCUAGCUGCACAGGACAGAGCAGCUUCUGAGGUCCCGUGGGGUCUAUCAUGCGGCUGAUUGUCUUUAAACUGUACCAUCCAUUUCCUACAGACUCUAGAGGAGAUUCAGGCUCAUUAGUAUAUCAGAAAUGUUCCUCGUUAUCCAGCGGUAAGCAAGCCAACAGAUGCUUUACCUUGACACUGUAAUGUUUAAGUGGGAGGAAUGUCUGCCAAGUGUUAAGUUGUCUUCAUGUUUUA